rnacentral:rRNA from 1 species
UACGGAGGGGGCAAGCGUUGUUCGGAAUUACUGGGCGUAAAGGGCGCGCAGGCGGCUGCUCAAGUCAGGCGUGAAAGGCCUGGGCUCAACCCGGGAAUUGCGCUUGAGACUGGGCUGGCUUGAGUGCGGGAGAGGAUGGUGGAAUUCCCAGUGUAGAGGUGAAAUUCGUAGAUAUUGGGAAGAACACCGAUGGCGAAGGCAGCCCCCUGGGCCAAUACUGACGCUCAUGCACGAAAGCGUGGGGAGCAAACAGG